rnacentral:rRNA from 1 species
UACAGAGGUCCCAAGCGUUGUUCGGAUUCACUGGGCGUAAAGGGUGCGUAGGCGGCGGGGUAAGUCUGAUGUGAAAUCCUGGGGCUCAACCCUGGAACUGCAUUGGAUACUGCCUUGCUAGAGAACUGGAGAGGAGACUGGAAUUUACGGUGUAGCAGUGAAAUGCGUAGAGAUCGUAAGGAAGACCAGUGGCGAAGGCGAGUCUCUGGACAGUUACUGACGCUGAGGCACGAAAGCUAGGGGAGCAAACAGG